rnacentral:rRNA from 1 species
AUUGAACGCUGGCGGAAUGCUUUACACAUGCAAGUCGAACGGUAGAGGGGGCAACCCCUUGAGAGUGGCGAACGGGUGCGUAAUAUAUCGGAACGUGCCCAGUCGUGGGGGAUAACGUAGCGAAAGUUACGCUAAUACCGCAUACGAUCUAAGGAUGAAAGCGGGGGAUCGCAAGACCUCGCGCGACUGGAGCGGCCGAUAUCAGAUUAGGUAGUUGGUAGGGUAAAGGCCUACCAAGCCAACGAUCUGUAGCUGGUCUGAGAGGACGACCAGCCACACUGGAACUGAGACACGGUCCAGACUCCUACGGGAGGCAGCAGUGGGGAAUUUUGGACAAUGGGCGAAAGCCUGAUCCAGCCAUUCCGCGUGCAGGAUGAAGGCCCUCGGGUUGUAAACUGCUUUUGUACAGAACGAAAAGGUUUCUAUUAAUACUAGGAGCUCAUGACGGUACUGUAAGAAUAAGCACCGGCUAACUACGUG